UACGGAGGGUGCGAGCGUUAAUCGGAAUUACUGGGCGUAAAGCGCACGCAGGCGGCUUGUUAAGCUAGAGGUGAAAGCCCCGCGCUCAACGUGGGAACUGCCUUUAGAACUGGCAGGCUAGAGUCUUGGAGAGGGGAGUGGAAUUCCAGGUGUAGCGGUGAAAUGCGUAGAUAUCUGGAGGAACAUCAGUGGCGAAGGCGCUCCUGGCCAAAGACUGACGCUCAUGUGCGAAAGUGUGGGGAGCAAAACAGGAUUGAGAUACCCCCGUAGUCC
rnacentral:rRNA from 1 species